UCCACUUUUGUAUACCCGUUAUCUUACUUGCCUUAUACAUGUACAUGAGCGCUCGUGGUAGGAGGACUAUUCUUUACUGUAGACCACGUGUCCCCUGGAACAAUGAAAGGCGGACAGAUCCUGUUGCUUGUGGUGCUGAUCUCUGCCCUGCUUGCUGUGACACACUCUCUUGCGCACCCAAGUCACGACUCAUGUAACACCACUGGGUGUAGACAUGGCAAUGGUCGUCUCAGAUGUCAGUCAUGUAACACCGGGUGUCACGGAUCAAACUGCAGCUCUACAUGCCAAGGACGUUGUGACGGAGACGGAUGUGACAGGUCCACUGGAGAAUGUUUCAGAUGUAGGCCAGGGUUCUAUGGACGACACUGCGACACACCCUGUCCACCACGAUGUUCCAGCUUUCCGGUA